rnacentral:rRNA from 1 species
UAUGGCUCAGGACGAACGCUGGCGGCGUGCCUAACACAUGCAAGUCGAGCGAUGAAGCCCUUCGGGGUGGAUUAGCGGCGGACGGGUGAGUAACACGUGGGUAACCUGCCUCAAAGAGGGGGAUAGCCUCCCGAAAGGGAGAUUAAUACCGCAUAACAUUAUUUCUUCGCAUGAAGAGAUAAUCAAAGGAGUAAUCCGCUUUGAGAUGGACCCGCGGCGCAUUAGCUAGUUGGUGAGGUAAUGGCUCACCAAGGCGACGAUGCGUAGCCGACCUGAGAGGGUGAUCGGCCACAUUGGAACUGAGAUACGGUCCAGACUCCUACGGGAGGCAGCAGUGGGGAAUAUUGCGCAAUGGGGGAAACCCUGACGCAAGCAACGCCGCGUGGGUGAAGAAGGCCUUCGGGUUGUAAAGCUCUGUCUUCUGGGACGAUAAUGACGGUACCAGAGGAGGAAGCCACGGCUAACUACGUGCCAGCAGCUGC